GCCUGGUGGUGAGCAUAUCAUGCAAGAGUAUGCAAGAACUAAAUGCUUGACAGAUGCAACCAGAAGAUAGAUGAUAAACAUCCUUACAGCUGCAAUGACAGAAGCACAUGGAUCAUCCCCUCCUAAAAGUGUCAGAGUGAUGUAUGCUCAGGGGAUCGUUGCCCUAUUUCCCUAUCUGGAGGACCCGUUUUCAAAACAUGGAUAUGAGCAUUACUAUGAUCCAGAGAGCGGUUCAGGAUACCUUGCAUGGCGUUUAAAGACCAUUCAAAGGAAAACUGCAGAGGAAAGGGGUGCCUCAGGUAUCAAAUCUCCC